GAUGUAUCAUGUAGGUAUAAGUCAAAAGAUGCUUCUACAAACGUCUCUGAUGUUUAUUUUUAGAUAUUAGAAGACCGUGAGUGAAGCGGAUAUAAUUAAUACUUUAAUGUACGCAGAAAUCUUUCCUUUACAAUUAUAUUUUAUGUGAAAUAUUUUAUAUAUUCUCAUAGUGAUCAUUAAUAGAUAUCAAUUGAAACAUGAAACAAUCUUAUUUACUACAAAAUGUCUACUGAAAAUUGCUUAGUUAAGGCAAUCUAUUCAUUCAAAGGAAAAAAUAAUGAUGAGUUAUGCUUCAAAAAAGGUGAUAUUAUCACUGUCACUCAAAAGGAAGAAGGUGGAUGGUGGGAGGGUACAUUAGGUGAAACAACAGGGUGGUUUCCAAGCAAUUAUGUUACUGAAUGCAAGGAUGCCUCGGGAUCCUUAACUACAUCUCCUAUAAGGGCAGUUUCAGAAAUUCAGGCAUUUCGAAAUGUUGUUCUCAAAGAUAUUAUUGAUUCAGAAAAGGCUCAUGUUGCAGAAAUGCAAGGACUUGUUACAAACUUUUUACAACCAUUAGAAAAAAGUGAAAUGCUAACAAGAGAUGAAUUUAAACAGUUAACCGGCAAUAUUGUUGAAGUGCUACAAAUUCAUGAACAGUUCCUAUCUCUGUUAGAGGAAUGUGCAACAAAAACAGGACCAGAUCAAAGAGUUGGAGGGCUAUUUCUACAAUGGGCUCCUAAAAUAAAAUCCGUCCACCAGACAUACUGUUCAGGCCAUCCUAAAGCUGUUUGCAUUCUUGAUAAAUAUAAGGAGGAAUUGAAUAGUUGGAUGGAAAACAAUGGUGCAGUAUGCCCUGGUGUACUUGUCCUCACAGCUGGUCUAUCAAAACCAUUCCGACGUUUGGGCAAGUACCCUGCAAUGUUACAAGAGUUAGCGAGGCAUGUUCACGAGGCACACCCUGAUAGAGGGGAUACCCAUAGGGCUUCCGUCGUGUACAAGGAUAUAGCUAGUGGUUGUUCAGCUUUAAGGCGACAAAAAGAGUUAGAACUGCAAGUAGUAACGGGUGAAGUGCGAGGUUGGCCGGGGGGUGAGCUAGCAUCGCUAGGGGAUGUUUUGCACAUGGGAAGUGUUGCAGUUGGUCCAUCUCACCAGGACAGAUAUUUGGUUCUCUUUCCCUCGGCCCUGCUAUUAUUGUCUGUGAGCAAGAGGGUUUCUGCCUUCGUCUAUGAGGGAUGUCUUCCAUUAACUGGUAUCACAGUGUGUAAGCUUGAUGAUACUGAUACGAGAAAAAAUGCAUUUGAAAUUAGUGGACCAAUGAUAGAUACAAUAGUAGCCGUUUGCCAGACCAAAGCUGAAGCUGACAAUUGGGUCAGCCUAUUGCAAAAGCAUUCAAAUAUCAACAGCCCCACACAUGAAUCGAACCAGCCACACUCGUUGCCACAUAUGGCCAUGAGCGACAGCAGUAGCGAGCUCUCCGGUCUAACGAACCACAAAAGAUCACACUCAUUUAACAAUCAUCAAAGUUACACGCAGCACACACAGACGCCGAAGACAAAGCAAAAAAAUCAUUCGGCCCGCUGGCUUCUUAACUCCUGCGAUUCGCUCGACCAAUCACCUGCCAAAUCUAAAGUGCCAAUCGGAAAGAAAUACUCUUCUGUGGAUUUCAUCGAUUCGGGCGCGAGUUAUAGCAAUAAAGGUUGGAGUAUAACAUGCUUGCGACCGGCGCCACCCCUUCGGCCGCAGUCGUUCUCAGUGGGUUCGGAAGAAAACAUUGGCCCAACACACCCUUACGCCCCUCAUCAAAGAAAGUCGAACUCGUAUGAGGAAGACGCCCUUAUUCUGAAGGUCAUUGAGGCUUAUUGCACCUCAGCACGCUGCAGAAAUGCUGUGAGCUCCGUGGAGUGCGGCCACUUUCCUCUCGGUAAAGUACAGUAUCACGCACACACUAACAAACCACAUUAUAAACUGUCGGUCGGGAGGAGCGGGACGCCGGAAUACACCGGCCGGAAGGGGACUAAGGUAAAGCGGAACAAGAGCUCGUCUGCGGCCGACGGGUGCGGGGGGGAGACGAGAUGGCUGCUAGACAGGCGUCUGGAGAUGAACAGGUCGAAUCCAAAUCUGUGGGAGUAUUCCGGUGAUUGGGACAGGUUGCGAGCGGCGCGUAGCGGAUCCCACCCUAGCCUGGCGCGGCCUCACGUCCCGCCGCCGCGCCCGCUCUCCGCUCCGCGUUCUUCCGCUCGUUCAUCUACCUGGUGUUGCGGCACCUUUGUCAAACAACUCACUAAAUCGCAUCACUUUGACUGACAGUGAUUUUCUCGAAGUCUCGCUUUGACUCAUCACUAACAUUCUCCCACGAGUACGUGAUCGCGAAGGCUUCUCAUUUAUUAACCAUCUUCAUCUCGAUGUGCAUUUGUGCGAUGUGCGCAUGAUUCCUUUCAAGUGCCAUUAUUUACUUCCGAAGCGUUAUCUAUGUGAACAUAGAUUUUUACCAAUUCUGUAGUGCAUGUAUAUUGUAGUUUAUUUUUAAUAUUUGGUGCAUUGAUAUUAUUGUACGUACGAUAUUAAUUGUUAAUAGAAACCCUAUUGCACGUUAAGUUCCAUAAUGUUGAAAGACUUGAGAUUAUAUUGAAUAAACAUGCAUGUGUUUUUAACUAAUUAGUAUGAAAUUUUAUAUUUAACUUUUAAUAACAAUGAUAUAUUAUGGUUGGUAUUGUUACACUUCAACUAGGCGAGGCAGUCAGAAAGUGUAUUAAAUUUUCUAAAACAUCUAAAUUUUUUACUGAAAUAUAUUGUAAAAUGGAAGAUUUAAAAACACUCCAGUCACAAUUAAAAAUAUCUAUGAAUACAGUAUAUUAUGUUUUGUUAGAGUCAAGGCAUCUACGACUAUAUAUUCUGACCCAUCCUGAAAAUUGUAUUUGUAUGACUAACAAUAAGCCAUAUAUAUUAUGAUAUACAAUCAUUACGGUGUUAAUUUGAAAAAAUUAAUAGUUAAUUUGAAUAAUUAUGCAUGUUGCGGAAAUUCGCAACACAUUGUACUUUCGGAAUUAUAUAUCUUUGCAUAUUAUAGAAGAAGGCCGCGUCAUUCUUUACGCGAUAAACUCAACCGAACGGAAUUUUGUUCAGUUCACCAAUAUAAUGUUUCCUGAGGAGGUUUAUAAUUUAAUUUAUGUAUGUUUAAUGUGCAUCUGUGUGCCCUUUUUUGGCAAAGGCCUCCAAAAUGUAUCUGAAUAAAGGCUAUUAUUAUUAUUAUUAUGUUUAAUGUACUAUAAAAAAAACUUGAUGAACUCGGGCGAAAUAUAGUGUUAUUUUAAAAAAUAUGCUUUUUCGCUUAAGACACUGUCGCUUAAAUGGUCCUAAUGGGUUUCCUGUAUGUAGAACUGAGCAGUGUUGGCCUAGUGGCUUUAGCGUGCGACUCUCUCCCCUGAGGUUCGAUCCCGGCUGUAAACCAAUGGUUGAUUGAUGAUGCAUUUAACAUUCGCUCGAACGGUGAAGGAAAAUAUUGUGAGGAAACCGACAUGUUUUACACCCUAAAAGUCGAUAGCGUGUCAGGUAAUCAGCCCUUUUACCAAAUCUAAUGAUUGACAAAUGAUGAUGAAUCAGAAAUGACCCAGACCCAGACCUCAAAAGGUUGUAGCGCCUUUAUAUUAUAUUAUUAUUUGAUUUAUAAAUAUUUUAUAUUAUAUUAUUAUUUGAUUUAUAUUAUUAUUUGUAUGUAGAACUUAAUAGGCAUUGAAUUAUCAGUUAAGCUUUGCAUAGACACAUUUCUGCGUCGACAUUCGAUCGUAUACCGGAAACGUAUUGAAAUCGUAUUAACCGGAAGUUUCGAGAUCCCUUCAUACCCAAUUCAUGUAUAAUCAAUAUCGCUGUAAUGGUCUCUAGACCUUGAAUAAAGAGAGUGUUGUAAAAAGAAAACAUAUUGCUAUUAGAAAUACAGUACUAGUUGAAAGAAAUUUUUUUGGUUAAAGUGAUUUUGUUAUUUUUGUAUAAUUUCUGGUUAGUUAUGAAUCCCCUGGUUUAAGGAUGAGAUUCUGAAAAUAUGUCUCCCACAUGUUUAAAUCCAGUAGUUAUUUAUACGAGAGUCUUACUUAGCGAUAAAUUUGCUUUUGAAUUUUAUUAAAUGUUUUUGGUAUUUAAGAUAUAGCUAGUUACACUGUCUUUUGUGCCUGAAACAAUUGUUGCUUCACUGAAAAUCCCCCAGGGGUUUGAGACAAAUGAUUUUGUAUGGGAGACACUGGUACUUCGUCAUGUGGCCAUUUUAAUACAAAUUCGCUAGUUGUUUAUUGGCCACGUGCUCAGAUAAACCCUCAUCUCCAUGAGCAUUGUAAUCCGAAUCUAAUUUGAUUCAGAAUUUCGUUCUGUAUUUAAUAGGAGAUACUUAUAAUAGGGAUACAGUCUUGUACUUUGUUAUUAACGACGAAGGCUGUAGUAAUAGAAUUGACAUCGCUAAUAAAGCUAAGUAUUCAGUUUACGCUCGCUGCAUAAUCGCCGGCUGCCGCGACGUGCAUACGUUUAAUAUUGAACAGCAGAGUGCGACACUAAAGUUUAGAUUCACGUAGCUAA